GGUUAAGGAUCCAUGAGUGGAUUCAGAUGAACGGCCCUGUGAAAUCAAUCGCAUGAAGCAUUUUAUAAGGCUGUAUAUUUCUACAAUUCUCUGGAGAAUCAAUUCAGGGCUUUAAAAGGAUUUUCCAAGAGCCAGUGACUCUCCAAACAUGAAUGGGAUCAGUAAGCAGUCAACCAGGCCCUUCUGAAGACCAACAUGGCAGAACGUUGCUCAAGAAAUCUGCAUACCAGCCAGGACCAAGGAGAAUCUCAACACAGAAACAUGAGGGAGGUGUCUCUUGGGUACUGACCAUGAGAACCCAUUGGAGUUCUAGCAGGUUCAUCUUCACACUGAGAGAAUGGAAAAGUUGCAGAGAUAAUCAUAGAAUAAAUGGAACUAGAAAUCUCAGAUCAUCUAAGAUAAGCACCUGUAAAUAAAGAAACAGACCCAGAUAUGUUCUUCUAUAAAUGUACAGGGCAUUUUGAGAAGGACCAAGACAAAUCACUGGGGGCUUAAGAGAAAUCUGUGGGUUUUAGCAUUUAAUGCAGGGAAAUCUGAGUUGGAACUGAGGGUUGACUGGCAGAAAAGUGUCUGUCUCAAAGAUAAUUAAUUAAUGGACCAGAGGGCCUGGGAUUUAGCUCAGUGGUUCCCCUGCCUGCCUCGCAAGCACAAGGUCCC
rnacentral:lncRNA from 1 species